CAUGUCGUUCCAAACCCGUAAUGCCUUCGUUCAUCUUUGGAACACAAAUUAAGUUUGACCGUUAAACUGCCUGCUAUUGCGCAUGCGUGGUCUGUCUUCGCGGUAUUUUGCGCGGGGUCUCCUCUUCCAGACACGCCAUCAAAGGGACUGGAUUUCGCCUGGUUGAGGACUUGAGGUUUGGAAUACAGUGUAAACGUUUGCAAAUUUCCUCACAGAAGCAGAGAGGUCCUCCAGAAACACUACAGGUUUCACCACUAUCAAGGGCGAUCCUGGCAGCAGCCUUGCCUGUACACUGACUGCAUCUGCACGUUCAAAACUAUAGGAAAGGGAUGCAUUACAUGAGGAAUUGAAGAAGAAACAUCUCAACAUGGCAUUUGUUGACUCGAAAAUGGAAUCGACAUUCUCAUUGAGAAGGAAGGAGAUAGCUGAAGAAGAACCUCUUUUAGCUGAUGUACUAAGACAAUGACCAGCAUUGUUUUUGGAACAUCAGAUAUGUGCUGAGUUUUACAGAAUCACACAAACAAACCUGAAGAGUAAAUUUUUCUCUUCUCUGGAUGAAUAUACACCGCGGAUGAUCAAGUUGUAUAGGGUACGCGGCGGAGCAUAUGGAGAUAAUAUGAAGACCCUCCUAGACCAACUUGAUAAUCAGACCUCCGAUGUGCUUGCUCAUAGAAAGGCUACAGCUCUCAAAGGGAAAAGUCUGAACAUUUCCUGAAGACUUGCCUGGACACAGAGCCAGAAGAAAAUCAUACAGAAGGGAAUAAAGAUGGGGAUCUUAACCAUCGUUGAAGAUGACGUUGCGACCAUCCACUCAAACCCAAAUGUAAGGUGCCUGUCUGUGGUUCUAGAGGAGCAUAUCGUGCUGGAUAAUGUGCAAGACCUUCCCACUGCUAUAGCUCUUCUCUUUGGCUUGAUUUAUGCCCUGAACAUGAACUAUCCUAAAGAACUCAAGUACACCUUUGAAACGAUUCAAAAGGUGUUUAUUGGUCUUGACCCCCAGUGCUCAGCAAGAGUCCAGUCCUUCAAAAGCAAACUGUCAAUGUCUAAAUAGCUGGAUAUGGAUAAGGGAAAGCACUUAGCUGUUGCUGUUGUUCCAUCUGAUGUUUCCGUAAAAGUGUCAAAAGAGGAAAUAUUUUAAAUUUUAAUGUAAUGAACCUUAAAUGUUGUUUUUACAGUUGUAAAACUGGAUUGCUCAAACACAUUUGUUGCAAUUUUUAGAAUCCUGAAGUCUUGUUCAUAGAUAUAGCACUUUAAGACUGUAAAAUCACUUUAAAAGCAUUCCAAGAAGAGAGGAAAGUGUUCUUUUGCCUCUUAAGGGGCCUCAAUGUGACAAAUUGUGAAUAAAUAUUUUCUGUAAUGAUGGCAUAGUCUUUUGUA